CCGUCCUAGUCUCAACCAUAAACGAUGCCGACCAGGGAUCGGCGGAAGUUGCUUUUAGGACUCCGCCGGCACCUUAUGAGAAAUCAAAGUCUUUGGGUUCCGGGGGGAGUAUGGUCGCAAGGCUGAAACUUAAAGGAAUUGACGGAAGGGCACCACCAGGAGUGGAGCCUGCGGCUUAAUUGACUCAAC
rnacentral:rRNA from 1 species